AACGAACGCUGGCGGCAUGCCUAACACAUGCAAGUCGAACGAGAUCCUUCGGGGUCUAGUGGCGGACGGGUGAGUAACGCGUGGGGACCUGCCCAGGGGUACGGAAUAACUACGGGAAACUGUAGCUAAUACCGUAUGAUGCCGAAAAGCCAAAGAUUUAUCGCCCUUGGAUGGACCCGCGUUGGAUUAGCUAGUUGGUGAGGUAAUGGCUCACCAAGGCGACGAUCCAUAGCUGGUUUGAGAAGAUGAUCAGCCACACUGGGACUGAGACACGGCCCAGACUCCUACGGGAGGCAGCAGUGGGGGAAUAUUGGACAAUGGGCGAAAGACCUGAUCCAGCAAUGCCGCGUGAGUGAAGAAGGCCUUAGGGUUGUAAAGACUCUUUCUAGAUGGGAAGGAUAAUGACGGUACCAUCAGAAGAAGCCCCGGCUAACUCCGU
rnacentral:rRNA from 1 species